rnacentral:rRNA from 1 species
AGAAUCAACGCUGGCGGCGUGCCUCAGACAUGCAAGUCGAACGCGAAAGACCCCUUCGGGGGUCGAGUAGAGUGGCGCACGGGUGAGUAACACGUGAGUAAUUUACCUUCUCGGUGGGGAAUAACAAUCGGAAACGGUUGCUAAUACCGCAUAAUGCAGCGGCAUCUUCGGAUGACAGUUGUUAAAGCGGGGGAUUUGAAGCAAUUCAGACCUCGCGCCGGAAGAGAAGCUCGCGGCAGAUUAGGUAGUUGGUAGGGUAACGGCCUACCAAGCCUGCGAUCUGUAGCCGGCCUGAGAGGGCGGUGGGCCACACUGACACUGAACAUACGGGUCAGGAACUCCUACGGGAGCAGCAGUCGGGAAUUUUGGGCAAGUGGCGCAAGCCUGACCCAGCAACGCGCGUGAAGAGUAGUUUCGAAUGUAAACUUCACAAGGACGGAAGAAUAACGUUAAGGACGAAGUAACCCUUGAACCGAGUAGACGGUACCGUAAGUAAGCUACCGGACUAACG